UACGUAGGGGGCAAGCGUUGUCCGGAUUCAUUGGGCGUAAAGAGCGCGCAGGCGGCUUGGUAAGUCGGAUGUGAAAUCCCGAGGCUCAACCUCGGGUCUGCAUCCGAUACUGCCCGGCUAGAGGUAGGUAGGGGAGAUCGGAAUUCCUGGUGUAGCGGUGAAAUGCGCAGAUAUCAGGAGGAACACCGGUGGCGAAGGCGGAUCUCUGGGCCUUACCUGACGCUCAGGCGCGAAAGCUAGGGGAGCGAACUGG
rnacentral:rRNA from 1 species